AUUCUAGGCCACCGAAUACAUUAGCAUGGGAUAAUGGAAUAGGACCCUGUCCUCCUAUUUUCAGUUGGUUUUGGCAGCGCGAGGACUAGGGUAAUGAUUAAUAGGGAUAGUUGGGGGCAUUAAUAUUUAAUUGUCAGAGGUGAAAUUCUUGGAUUUAUGAAAGAUUAACUUCUGCGAAAGCAUCUGCCAAGGAUGUUUUCAUUAAUCAAGAACGAAAGUUAGGGGAUCGAAGACGAUCAGAUACCGUCGUAGUCUUAACCAUAAACGAUGCCGACCAGCGAUUAGGAGACGUUGAAUACAAAACACCACCAUCGGCGCGGUCGUCCUUGGCGCGUUCGUGUUCACGCACGGGCGCGCGAGGGCGGCUUAGCCCGGUGGCACCGGUGAAUGACUCCCUAGCACAGGGGGGGGAAG
rnacentral:rRNA from 1 species